CUGUGGUGCUGUCAUGGCCGGUGCACCCAUUCGACCGGUGGUCCCUGAGGCUGCUCCCAUAGGCCGAAGAACAGAAGAUCAACAUUCAAGAUCAAGUAUCUGAAUCCCCCAAAUCCUCGCAAACGUUUCCCUCUUCUACGUCGAUCGCCAACGCCAUAACACACUCCCCCACCAGGGUGGACACCAUUAAACGCAUUGAGAUUGCA